ACGGGAGCAUACGCUGAGACGCAGACAGGCACAGACGGGAAAACAUAACUGAGCCAACGAGACACAAAACACAGGGAAGGCACCGGAACACAACUAAGAACUAAACACCAGCAGUACUACGUAUAACCACCAGUUCCCUGGAGGGAGGAGUGACUGAUGAUGGCGGUGUGUACAGUAUAUCUCUCUUUCUUAACACAGUCUCAAAGAGGAAGAAGAAGGCAGCACAGGAGUGGAUCCGCAAGCAUCCAGACAUUAAGGACUUUGAGCACUGAGGAUUUUUUUUCAUGCAAUUGUAAGAAAAUAGCUUUUAGAGGUGACCCAGCAGUAGUGUUAGCACUGCCAAAAUGAGUGUAAAGAAAAUGCUACACAUGCCACUGUUACUCAAUCCUGCAAGAUAGGAAAGGUUUGUUUUGCUUUUUGUUUUUUUGGUUCAAUGCAUCAAAACACGGAGCUGCUGUUAUUUUUUCUCUCUGACCCAGUUCCAUAGCAUAUACAACCUGCACUACAUCAUAUUCAUAGUGUACAGUUUCUGUAUUUAGUAACAUUUU